rnacentral:lncRNA from 7 species
GAGCCCUCCGAUAAAGCUGCCAGGGUCGAAACGCCAUUGGCGUGAGGUGCGUAGGUAGGGAAACUCGACGACACCGCUGUUGUUCCGCGUCUGCGCUAAUAUUCUGGUGGCCGCGGUAGAUCGAGGGGUUGCUCUUGAUGGUGGGCAACCUAGUCGAGGCAUCGGCAAGCCUGGGGGAGCCCUGGAACUUCACCAAUUGCUCACCGGAGAAUCACAUCCGCCGCGGGCCACACCGCCCCGUGGCUGUGGCUCGUCUCGACACCACCCCGGGAGAAGAACAGGUGGUUCAAGAGGAGCCACAUCACGAGGAGUUCGAUUCGAUCUAGGUGGCGUCUCCCAGUAGACUUUCUGGCGCCAAGGAUGGAUUUUAGAUCCUUUUAUAUUUAUCUUUUAUUUUGUAAGACUUCCGCUAUGUAAUAAGUACUCUGAUUAUUGUGACAUUUAUCUCUAUACACUCUGUU